GACGAACGCUGGCGGCGUGCUUAACACAUGCAAGUCGAACGGAAAGGCCCUGCUUUUGUGGGGUGCUCGAGUGGCGAACGGGUGAGUAACACGUGAGUAACCUGCCCUUGACUUUGGGAUAACUUCAGGAAACUGGGGCUAAUACCGGAUAGGAGCUCCUGCUGCAUGGUGGGGGUUGGAAAGUUUCGGCGGUUGGGGAUGGACUCGCGGCUUAUCAGCUUGUUGGUGGGGUAGUGGCUUACCAAGGCUUUGACGGGUAGCCGGCCUGAGAGGGUGACCGGCCACAUUGGGACUGAGAUACGGCCCAGACUCCUACGGGAGGCAGCAGUGGGGAAUAUUGCACAAUGGGCGGAAGCCUGAUGCAGCAACGCCGCGUGCGGGAUGACGGCCUUCGGGUUGUAAACCGCUUUCGCCUGUGACGAAGCGUGAGUGACGGUAAUGGGUAAAGAAGCACCGGCUAACUACGUGCCAGCAGCCGCGGUGAUACGUAGGGUGCGAGCGUUGUCCGGAUUUAUUGGGCGUAAGGGCUCGUAGGUGGUUGAUCGCGUCGGAAGUGUAAUCUUGGGGCUUAACCCUGAGCGUGCUUUCGAUACGGGUUGACUUGAGGAAGGUAGGGGAGAAUGGAAUUCCUGGUGGAGCGGUGGAAUGCGCAGAUAUCAGGAGGAACACCAGUGGCGAAGGCGGUUCUCUGGGCCUUUCCUGACGCUGAGGAGCGAAAGCGUGGGGAGCGAACGGGCUUAGAUACCCUGGUAGUCCACGCUGUAAACGGUGGGUACUAGGUGUGGGGUCCAUUCCACGGGUUCCGUGCCGUAGCUAACGCUUUAAGUACCCCGCCUGGGGAGUACGGCCGCAAGGCUAAAACUCAAAGGAAUUGACGGGGCCCCGCACAAGCGGCGGAGCAUGCGGAUUAAUUCGAUGCAACGCGUAGAACCUUACCUGGGUUUGACAUGGAUCGGGAGUGCUCAGAGAUGGGUGUGCCUCUUUUGGGGUCGGUUCACAGGUGGUGCAUGGCUGUCGUCAGCUCGUGUCGUGAGAUGUUGGGUUAAGUCCCGCAACGAGCGCAACCCUUGUUCACUGUUGCCAGCACGUUAUGGUGGGGACUCAGUGGAGACCGCCGGGGUCAACUCGGAGGAAGGUGGGGAUGACGUCAAGUCAUCAUGCCCCUUAUGUCCAGGGCUUCACGCAUGCUACAAUGGCUGGUACAGAGAGUGGCGAGCCUGUGAGGGUGAGCGAAUCUCGGAAAGCCGGUCUCAGUUCGGAUUGGGGUCUGCAACUCGACCUCAUGAAGUCGGAGUCGCUAGUAAUCGCAGAUCAGCAACGCUGCGGUGAAUACGUUCCCGGGGCU
rnacentral:rRNA from 1 species